rnacentral:rRNA from 1 species
GACGUAGGAUGCAAGCGUUGUCCGGAUUUAUUGGGCGUAAAGAGUUCGUAGGCGGUUCGUUAAGUCUGAUGUUAAAUAUCGGGGCUCAACCUCGGGAGUGCAUUGGAUACUGGCGGACUGGAGUGUGGUAGAGGUUAGUGGAAUUCCCAGUGUAGCGGUGAAAUGCGUAGAUAUUGGGAAGUACACCAGUGGCGUAGGCGACUAACUGGGCCAUAACUGACGCUGAGGAACGAAAGCCAGGGGAGCGAAUGGG